rnacentral:rRNA from 1 species
UACGGAGGGUGCAAGCGUUAUCCGGAUUCACUGGGUUUAAAGGGUGCGUAGGUGGUUUUGUAAGUCAGUGGUGAAAGCCUACAGCUUAACUGUAGAAUUGCCAUUGAUACUGCUUAACUUGAAUCAAGUCGAAGUGGAUGGAAUAGAUCAUGUAGCGGUGAAAUGCUUAGAUAUGAUUUAGAACACCAAUUGCGAAGGCAGUUCACUAGGCUUGUAUUGACACUGAGGCACGAAAGCGUGGGGAUCAAACAGG